rnacentral:rRNA from 1 species
GACGAACGCUGGCGGCGUGCUUAACACAUGCAAGUCGAACGAAGUGGCGAACGGGUGAGUAAUACGUGAGUAACCUGCCCUCCUUUUUGGGAUAAGCCUUGGAAACGGGGUCUAAUACCGAUUAACGGGGGUUGGGCUCGCGGCCUAUCAGCUUGUUGGUGGGGGGAUGGCCUACUAAGGCGGUGACGGGUAGCCGGCCUGAGAGGGUGACCGGCCACAUUGGGACUGAGAUACGGCCCAGACUCCUACGGGAGGCAGCAGUGGGGGAUAUUGCACAAUGGGCGAAAGCCUGAUCCAGCCAUGCCGCGUGUGUGAAGAAGGUCUUCGGAUUGUAAAGCACUUUAAGUUGGGAGGCGCUACCAACAGAAUAAGCACCGGCUAACUUCGUGCCAGCAGCCGCGGUAAUUC